UACGGAGGGGGCUAGCGUUGUUCGGAAUUACUGGGCGUAAAGCGUGCGCAGGCGGUUUGAUAAGUCAGAUGUGAAAUCCCCGGGCUUAACCUGGGAACUGCGUUUGAAACUAUCAGGCUAGAGUGUGGCAGAGGGGGGUAGAAUUCCACGUGUAGCAGUGAAAUGCGUAGAGAUGUGGAGGAAUACCGAUGGCGAAGGCAGCCCCCUGGGCCGAUACUGACGCUCAGGCACGAAAGCGUGGGGAGCAAACAGG
rnacentral:rRNA from 1 species